AGAAGGAAGAUGGCGGAUCUGGAGGAGCAGUUGUCUGAUGAAGAGAAGGUGCGUAUAGCAGCAAAAUUCAUCAUUCAUGCCCCUCCUGGAGAAUUUAAUGAGGUUUUUAAUGGUGAGUGUUUGAUUUAAAACACUAGGCUUGAUAUAUUAAGUCCUCUUUUUAAAAGAAAACCAAAAUAAUCAAAAUAAGCUAAGGAGAGUAUGCAGAAAAAUCUGUGUUUUCUGAAUUACAAUGAAAAUAUGUUAGUCUGGAUUUUGUAAUGGCUAGAAUAUAAUGUAUUUAUUUAUAUAUGAUGAUUCUGUUAGCAAAUUAACCCUUUUAAAGCCUGAAAUAAAUUUUAUUCAUAUCACUGACUAGAAUAUAUUCUCAUUCUGGGAAAGGAGAGUCUUUUUGGUAAAUUGUUUUAUUUAAGUAAAACUAUAAAUGCAUAUAGUAGAUAUUUCUUCAAUAGAACUCUUAAAUAGUUUAAAAAGACAACAGGCCAGGUGCAGUGGCUCACUCCUGUAAUACCAGCACUUUGGGAAGAUGAGGCAGGCAGGUCACUUGAGACCAGGAGUUCAAGACCAGCCUGGGCAGUAUGGUGAAACCUUGUCUCUACCAAAAAA
rnacentral:sRNA from 1 species